rnacentral:misc_RNA from 1 species
GGUACACACACACACAAACACACACGCACGCGCAGUAUACACGCGGACACACACGCACCUCACUCACAACCCGACCAUUCGCAGCCGCUACUAUGCUUUACCGCACGGCAGUGCCAGUGCCGGCUGACGCGCUUGUGCAGCGCAAUCUGGAGUUCACGCGGACCGCGUGGAAGGCAGGCCUCCGUCCCGAUCAACGAGAGGCGAAUCAGCUGCGGGUGGUGGAGAUGGACUUCCCGCUGCUCUCCCGUGACGUGGUGCAGGUGAAGUGCGGCAACACCGUCGCCACGGCCACUGUCAGCUGCGACCUUGUAGAGCCCUCCCCGUACCGUCCAAAGCACGGCUUCUUCGAGGUGCAUGCCCGCCAGCUGCUGCACGAACGCGACCCUCUCGACCAGUUUAAGGAGAUUAAGCGCAUCAGCAUGUACCUGACGCGACUGCUCUCCAGCAGUGUGCUGGAGACGGAGGGCCUUUGCGUCAUCCCAGGCCGCCGCGUGUGGAGCAUCGAUGCAGAGGUGAUCAUUGUUAACAAUGAUGGCAACGUGCAAGAUGUGGCGCAGUGGGCUGUGAUGGCCGCCCUGCAGCACGUACGCAGACCCGAGCUCACCAUUCGUGGCGAAGACGUGAUUGUACACCCCCCGCAUGAGCGGGACCCGGUGCCGCUGCCGCUUCAUCACACCCCCCUCUCCUUCACGUUUGCUGUUUGCGCCAAUCCGCAGGAGGUGCAGCUGGCGGUGCGCGCGGCCACGCUGCGCCGUGCACAGGCACCUCGAGCCGGUGCCUCUUCCGGCGCCAACGCGGAUGAGGGCGACGGUGAAGCGAAAGAUCUCGGCUGGUCGAGUAACGCACUGCAGGUCGUGGUGGAUCCGUCGUUAGAGGAGGCUGCCGCUGCCGCGUGCACGGUGUCGGUGGCCGUGAACGGUGAGGGCCACGUGUGCUCGCUGGAGAAAGCGGAUGGCUGCGAUGUGUCAAUCGCGUACCUGGAGCAAUGCAUGAAGGCUGCCACGAAGCUCACGCAGGCGCUGCUGACGCAGAUGAAGGAGUCGAUGGAGGCGCACAAUGCGAAGCGCAAGGAGGCGGUGCGCAGCCAGUUUCUCUGGGCGCAGCAGCGUCACGGCAUCCAGGCUAUCGCGACCCCGGGGGACGAGGGGGAGCACGCAAGCAAGAAAGCCAAGACAGAGGAAUGAGCGUGAGCGAGGGGCGGUGCACCACUCUCGCUAUCGACCCACUCAGCCACGUACGCGGGCGACCUAUGUGCGCCGGCAGAAAGAGGUGGUGUGUAUGUGUGUAGGUGAGACGGCGGUGACACGCCCCUGUCCCUCUCACUGUUCCCCUCCUCGGCGCCUCACCGCUUAUUCUACUUUUCGUCCAGUGUUACGCUAAACGGGUAAGCGCAACGUGUGCC